UACGAAGGGGGCUAGCGUUGCUCGGAAUCACUGGGCGUAAAGCGCACGUAGGCGGCUUUCUAAGUCAGGGGUGAAAUCCUGGAGCUCAACUCCAGAACUGCCUUUGAUACUGGAGAGCUUGAGUCCGGAAGAGGUGAGUGGAACUCCGAGUGUAGAGGUGAAAUUCGUAGAUAUUCGGAAGAACACCAGUGGCGAAGGCGGCUCACUGGUCCGGUACUGACGCUGAGGUGCGAAAAGCGUGGGGAGCAAACAGG
rnacentral:rRNA from 1 species